rnacentral:rRNA from 1 species
AGCGGCAGCGGAAGUAGCUUGCUACUUUGCCGGCGAGCGGCGGACGGGUGAGUAAUGUCUGGGAAACUGCCUGAUGGAGGGGGAUAACUACUGGAAACGGUAGCUAAUACCGCAUGACCUCGAAAGAGCAAAGUGGGGGAUCUUCGGACCUCACGCCAUCGGAUGUGCCCAGAUGGGAUUAGCUAGUAGGUGAGGUAAUGGCUCACCUAGGCGACGAUCCCUAGCUGGUCUGAGAGGAUGACCAGCCACACUGGAACUGAGACACGGUCCAGACUCCUACGGGAGGCAGCAGUGGGGAAUAUUGCACAAUGGGCGCAAGCCUGAUGCAGCCAUGCCGCGUGUGUGAAGAAGGCCUUAGGGUUGUAAAGCACUUUCAGCGAGGAGGAAGGCAUCNNNCUUAAUACGUGUGGUGAUUGACGUUACUCGCAGAAGAAGCACCGGCUAACUCCGUGCCAGCAGCCGCGGUAAUACGGAGGGUGCAAGCGUUAAUCGGAAUUACUGGGCGUAAAGCGCACGCAGGCGGUUUGUUAAGUCAGAUGUGAAAUCCCCGCGCUUAACGNNNNNACUGCAUUUGAAACUGGCAAGCUAGAGUCUUGUAGAGGGGGGUAGAAUUCCAGGUGUAGCGGUGAAAUGCGUAGAGAUCUGGAGGAAUACCGGUGGCGNNNNNNGCCCCCUGGACAAAGACUGACGCNNNNNUGCGAAAGCGUGGGGA